rnacentral:rRNA from 1 species
ACUCCUACGGGAGGCAGCAGUGGGGAAUAUUGCACAAUGGGCGAAAGCCUGAUGCAGCAAUGCCGCGUGUGUGAAGAAGGCCUGCGGGUUGUAAAGCACUUUUAUCGGGAAAGAAAAACCAGGGCUAAUACCCUUGGUCUUGACGGUACCCGUUGAAUAAGCACCGGCUAACUCCGUGCCAGCAGCCGCGGUAAUACGGAGGGUGCAAGCGUUAAUCGGAAUUACUGGGCGUAAAGCGCGUGUAGGUGGCUUGUUAAGCCAGAUGUGAAAGCCCCGGGCUCAACCUGGGAACUGCAUUUGGAACUGGCAGGCUAGAGUUUUGUAGAGGGUGGUAGAAUUUCAGGUGUAGCGGUGAAAUGCGUAGAGAUCUGAAGGAAUACCGGUGGCGAAGGCGACCACCUGGCCAAUAACUGACACUGAGACGCGAAGGCGUGGGUAGCAAACGGAU